rnacentral:lncRNA from 1 species
AUGUAAGAAUAUCUUGCAUAUCUAUCAAUGUUUCAAAAAUAAACCCACACCCAAAAAUAAUUAAACAACAAAAAUAAAAAAUGACAAUCAUGGCAAAAUAGAAAUGCAGAAAAGGGAAGGUUUUUAGAAACGCAAAACUGAUUGUAGAGCGAUUCAUAGAUCUUCCUUUUUUGAAUACAUGGGUUGCCUCCCAAGAAGCGCUUUCUUUAACGUCUUGCAGCCGGACGAUACCUCCCGUCCCAUUCCCCUAGGUUCCAUGGAAGUGAUCUUCGAAUGGAAGGUGAUACUUGAAGUGAUCCGGCAAUGGUGUAAAUUCUAGUAUGGGUGCCUGAAUCAUCAAAAUCAGCAAGUUAGUGGAAAACGUAUGUAAAAUUGGAGAAUAUGACUUACUUGCUUUGUCCGACAAGAACUCAAUGACAAACACCAUAUUUUUGAAAGUUUCAGGGAUAUUAGACUUGGCCAGAUUGAAUGUGAUGGUUGGGACUUGUCCCAUGUCAUAAAAUUCAACUUCUUUAGGAAUGGUUGUCUCAAGCACAUCCUCUUUGAUGCAUUCUACAUCUUCUUCAGCCACUACUUUCUCUUGAAUCAUUCUUCUUGGUGUACAAGGUCCUUUGAAUAUUUCAACACAAUCUGGAACUUGAUUUGUUGCACCAAGAAUUGGAAUAUCAUUUUGCAUCUUUGGGAAGGCUUCCACGAUGUCUUUUUCACUUUCUUCUUUCAUGGGAAUUAAAAACCUACGAGGAAAAGGGACGUUCGGAGGAAUAACAUUAGAAUGAAAUGAAAUUGGGACGUCCUUACUUGUGGUGGGUGGUUUAGAGGGCUUAAGGGGCUGCGGCAAGGGUUGUUCUACCCUUUCCGUGUGUAUGUCUUCUUCCUCCUCCUCAAUCAGUAGCUCAUUAUCCACUUCUAGGCUAUGUUUGGAUGUUUUUAGGUUAGCUUCAAUCUCCAUAGCACUUCUCAAAGUGAUAGCAUCAUGGAUUUCAAAAUCUUCCUUCGAAUUUUCAAUAGUUAAGUUGGGGAGUUCACUCUGCUCUUGAAUUUGUGCCAUGAACUCCAUAAUCUGCCCAGGUUGCUUCUCCAAUUCACUCGCCUUCUUGGCUUGAUUUUGUAUCUCUUUGUUUUGAUUUUCUACUUUCUGGUUCAAAGAGGUGAGUAACUUAUUAAACAUAUCAUCAUCCAAAGAUGUACCUGAAUUGAAUUGGGCAGAUUGUUGUGGUGACUGUGAUGGUUGAUAUGGCCAGUGAUAGAACUCCUCCGAUGGUGGCAGAUAUUCUUCUUGUUGUGAGCCCUGCACCAUAGAGUUUAAUUCAUUAAGAAUUUGAUUGUAAUCUAUUGAUGAGUCUGAGUUUGAUUGGGCAUAUUGUAUAUGAGGUUGUGGUGGCUGCAUAGGUCCUGAAUAGAACUCCUCAUAUGGCUGCCAAUAUCCUUCAUGUUGAACUUGUUGAGCUUCCCACCACAUAGAGUUUGAAUGAUCACUCCAAUCUCUUUGUGGGCAUUGAUUGGCUUGAUAUCAUUGCCUAUAAGACGCACCAAAUGUAAGGACACUUUGCAUUGUGGUCCUUUCGGCAUACUGUGACAAUUGAGAAGUAAGAUUUGCCAAUUGAGUUUGAAUGCUAGCAAAAUCCAUGUCUUACUUCUCUAGUACCUAAAAUCAAAGAAAGAAAACUAAAUCAAAUAUCAAAAGUAAAACAAAAGACAUGAAAAAGAAACAACGGGGGAUUAGCAAAGUUGCUAAUCCCCGGCAACGGCGCCAAAAAUUUGAUGCGAAAUAUAUAAGCACACAAAUUAAACCCUCUUUUUGUCAAUUGUAGUAAAGUAUGUAAGUAGGGAUCGUUCUAGGUCGGGGACUAGGAGGGAUUGCUAAAUCACUUGGAAACUGACUUGAAAACGUAAAAACAAAGUUUAAAACACUAAACUAGACUCAAAGAAUGCAAAACUAUACUUUAAAAUACUAAGAAACAAAAAGAUUCAAAACAGCAAAUAAACACUCAAAACUGCCUUAAAAACACUUUCUGGGCAGUUUUGAACACCUAACACUAAAUUGGACGAAAUUGGGUUAUGACUUGACUCAAGACACUUAAAAAUACAAACUAAAGUGAUUACUAACUAAUCUAACACUUUGAAAUAAAUGGGAGAUUGGUUCUUGACGAAUUUGAAAACAAAACAAAUUGUAAAACAAAACAGAUUGUAAAUGAAUUUGAAUGAAACUUAUGGAUGGAAGGCUAGCUAGGAGGUUCUUCUCCACACAUGUCACACUUGCAUACAAAACGAUUUCCAGUUGCUUUUCGAUAAACUAUGAAUACUCAACGCCCCAAAUUAACCGUGAAUUGCACUAAUUAACCCUCAGUUUUUUCCACAAGUUAUUGGGUUGGAUGAUUGCAUACGACAACCCAAAACAUUCCCUACAAGUUCCCUACAUGAAUUGCAUAAUAGAGAUACAAGCAAGAAUCAUUAAGUUCUAUGAAAAACAUAAGCAUUGACGAGGCACUCGUUACUAUGAUUUGCAUGAAACUUAUGCCAAGAAUUUACUUAACGUGAUUGUGACUAGCAACCUUCACUACUUGUGAAUAUAAGUUCAUAACGAUUAGGUGAAACUCCCUUAUAUUCUAGCGUCAAAUUCAUGCAUGAAAAUUAAGCGUUCACUCUCAACCAACAUACACAAAUCAGUUUUUAUACGAACGGAUAAGUAAAUUGAAUUCACAACUUAUGAAUCACAACUGGAUGUAAUCAAAUCAUAUUGUAAGCAUGAACAUAGUUUCAAAUCACCCCCUAACUAAGAGGGGUUUAGUUCCUCAUGCUCGCAAUUACACAAAGAUAACUCAAAUUAAACAUUGAAAUCAAAGAUAGAAAACACCUAGAAACGCUCCAACACUCCCAAGGCUUGGGCAUAGGCACGGCACAAGAUGUUCCUUCUCCUUCCUUCCUUGCAAUAGUCACGGCAUAAGAGAGUUAGAACAGGUUUUGGGUGGUUUUUAUGGUGUAGAAUGGAUGGGGAAUGGUAUGGAAAGGUUUAGGGUUGAUGGGUGGUGUGGCUAGGGGUGGUGUUUGGCUGAAUUUUUAGAGAAUGGUGAUGGAGAGGUGCGGCUAAGGUAAGGGAUCAAAAUCUGUUUUCUUUGAUGAAUAUGAGAGGUGGUAUUUAUAGGUUUGAGAGAGGACCACUCCAUUUCCUUUGCAUGUGAGCUUGUGUGGGUGUGAGUUGUCAUGUUUCCCCUUUACAUUUACACACACAUGCUUCAUCAUUUCCACAAAAACACACCAUAAUUUCUGCCAUGCCGUGUGCUCCAUGUGCUUGAUGCUGCCAUGUUCUUUUCUUUCCAUGUGUUUGCUUUCUUUGCCAUGUGUUUGCUGCCAUGUUCUUUGCUUUUACCAUUACACUUGCACACACACAUGUUCUUUGCAUCAUUUCAACCCACAAACACACACAUGCUUCAUCAUUUCACCACAAACACACACCAUAAUUUCUGCCAUGCCGUGUGCUCCCAUGUGUGUGCUGCAACAUUCUUUUCUUUGCCAUGUGUUUGCUGCAACAAGGGGUUUAUUUAAAGGGAUAAAGGAAAUAAAACCCUAGGUUAACUAGGUAAACAGAAAUUAAGUCUAAAGCUUCUACAAUUUAGGGAAACAAAUCAGAAAUUUAAAGGGAAUAAGCUAAAAUGUGUGGCAAGGCUUUGUAGUAGAUUAGGAAAGUGUUUAAAUGCAAGAUUUAGGAAAGAAUGACUCUUCCUUGCACGGCAAGGAAGAGUAAUGGCAAGGGUGGAGCACACGGUUGGUUGCUUAUUUUUGAACACUUCGUUCUUUAUUUGUCUUGAAUCCAAUUCUUCACAUCAUCAUUCAAUCCUAUGCUCAUUUGAUCUUCAAUUUCGUCCGUCUUCUUACCUCCAAGCAUAUGCAAUCCAUUUGAUAAACAAAAACUGCUCCAAACGACUCCAAAAUGCACAUGUAUGCAUACUUUGUCCUUAAAACCUGAAAACAUAUAAAAGUGACUUUAAACACUAAAAUAACUAAAGAAACACAACGUAAACGCACGAGAACAAGACAAUUAAGUCGCAUAAAUAUGCUCCUAUCAGUGCACUAAGUUGAUCUCUUCUGAUGUAACCAUUGCCAUAGGGGGUUGGAAAUUUCAUCAACAACAUAUGUGUGGAUACCAUGGCCUUGAGAUCAUUGAUGUCUGUGCGUCCGAAGAUGACAUUGUAUGUCGUUGGACAAUCAACCACCAGGAAGUUAGUGGUAAUGGUAGCUGUGUAAGAGCCUAUACCAAUGGUGAAAGGUAAGUGUAUGCUCCCCAAAGGUUGCACGAUAUCACCGGAAAAGCUUAUCAGAGAGGAAAUCGAGCGAUCGAGCAAGUGUUCAGCUAUAUUAAGUGCCUUGAAAGCUUCAGCAAACAUGAUAUUGACCGAAGCCCCCGUGUCUACCAGGAUUCGUAGUACUUCAAAGUUUGCUAUGUAAGCUUCCACGAUCAGUGGGUCGUUGUGAGGGUAGAUGAUACUCUUCUUCCUCAGGUAGAAACAUAUUGGAUCCCGGUUAGGCUUUUGAUACUUACCUCCCUGAUGUCUUCCACGUGAAACACUUGGUGGCCAGACCUUAAAGCUCGUUCACUAUUUUUUAUGGCCCUGUUGGAAGAUUUAGAUAUGGGUGUGCCACCACUUAUGGAAUAUAUCACAUUCACCUGCAUUGGUUACGGUUACCCCUUGGAGGUGAACGAGGAAUUGAAUCAAUUUUUCCUUCAUGUGCCAAAGCUUCAAUAUGAUCACGAAGGGUGAUACACUUCUCGCCGUCAUGGCCAUUAUACUUGUGGUAGCAGCAAAAUGUGCCCGUGUUCUUCGUGGGCUUGUAAUCCGGGUGCCUCGGCUUUGGCUUCAGUAUCAAGUGUGAUAUGCUGGGGUAAAUGGCCACGCAUAUGGCGUUCAAGGGUAUGUAUGCCUCAUACCUCGGGGUAGGGGUUGUCCUGACACGUGCUUGACCCAUUGUGUUGACUGUCUGGGGUCGAGGAUUAUCAUGGCGAUACCCUUGGUUAUCGCGGUAGUGUCCCUUACUCCUUUUAUUAAAAUGAGACUGAUGAGGAUGGAAAUCUUUCCUUUUGCCCUGAAAUUGAUAUGUCUGUUGACUUGGCAAAGUAUUAAGUAAGGCAGGGGAGACAUUGCUGCCGUUAGAAGGUUGAGGUCUUCUCAUUUGUUGGAUCUGGCUUCCACUCCCACUUGCUGAUAAAUGGUGGUUGUGGGGGGUUUCCUUGAUAUGUCCUUGCCUCGGCGGAGGCCUGGUUGUAAGCCUGUACCAUCACCUUCAGAGUAAGUCUUCCAAGUGUUGGCAUUGAUCAUGUACUUGAAGAAACAGUCACAUAGGCCUGCCGUGAAGGCUUUGAGGGCAGUCUUGUCGUCUGCCUCGGCACAACGGGAAUUACUCAUGGCUGAAGCGGCCAACAUACAUUAAGUAAUUACUCGUCUGGCUUUCUGGCGAAUAGUGUACAAGUCAUCUGCAGAAUGCAAAGCGAUCGGUCUAGAAGAUGUGUUGAGAGACAAACAGUUUCCUCAGUUCCUCAAAUGAGUCUACUGUCGUAGGUCGAAGACGGCAAUACCAGUUUAGAGCUCCGCCAGAAAGGUGGAGGGGAAGAGAAGACAUCGCUCUUCAUCGGUGUGCAUCCGAUAUGCCAUGGUGGACUCAAAGAGGUUAAGGUGUUCGAGGAUCCUCCUUGUGAGAGGGCUAGGCCUGGUUGGUUCCAGUCAGGUAUCUCGGCCUGACGUUUCGGCCUUCAACUUGUUUACUUCCUCAAGGAGCUGUAGGACANAAAAAGAGAUCAAUUGUCAACCGAAGGGUGGUACAAGGUGGUGCCAAUCUUCACCAUGCUAUCCAGAUAAUCUUUUGAGAUAGAGACCUUCUCCAAACUCUUCAGCAGGUUGUGCUUGCUGGUGAAAGAGUCAUCUCAAGGAUCGUCGGGUUAACUGGUGCACCGUGAAGAUCCAAGUUGGCUUCGUCUGGGCGGUCUUUAGACUUGGUCAUGUAUAGAAAGGGUUUCCUGGGCACAGGCAGGUGUUUGUUGCUUAACCGAAUUGUUGUAACAUGAUCGUGCAUGAUGCAAAAUAUAUAAGCACACAAAUUAAACCCUCUUUUUGUCAAUUGUAGUAAAGUAUGUAAGUAGGGAUCGUUCUAGGUCGGGGAUUAGGAGGGAUUGCUAAAUCACUUGGAAACUGACUUUGAAAAACGUAAAAAACAAAGUUUAAAACACUUAAACUAGACUCAAAGAAUGCAAAACUAUACUUUUAAAAUACUAAGAUAAACAAAAAGAUUCAAAACAGCAAAUAAACACAAAACUGCCUUAAAAAACACUUUCUGGGCAGUUUUGAACACUAACACUAAAUGGACGAAAUUGGGUUAUGACUUGACUCAAGACACUUAAAAACACAAACUAAAGUGAAUGUAAGAAUAUCUUGCAUAUCUAUCAAUGUUUCAAAAAUAAACCCACACCCAAAAAUAAUUAAACAACAAAAAUAAAAAAUGACAAUCAUGGCAAAAUAGAAAUGCAGAAAAGGGAAGGUUUUUAGAAACGCAAAACUGAUUGUAGAGCGAUUCAUAGAUCUUCCUUUUUUGAAUACAUGGGUUGCCUCCCAAGAAGCGCUUUCUUUAACGUCUUGCAGCCGGACGAUACCUCCCGUCCCAUUCCCUAGGUUCAUGGAAGUGAUCUUCGAAUGGAAGGUGAUACUUGAAGUGAUCCGGCAAUGGUGUAAAUUCUAGUAUGGGUGCCUGAAUCAUCAAAAUCAGCAAGUUAGUGGAAAACGUAUGUAAAAUUGGAGAAUAUGACUUACUUGCUUUGUCCGA